rnacentral:rRNA from 1 species
UGGGGAAUCUUCCGCAAUGGACGAAAGUCUGACGGAGCAACGCCGCGUGAGUGAUGACGGCCUUCGGGUUGUAAAGCUCUGUUAAUCGGGACGAAUGGUUCUUGUGCGAAUAGUGCAAGGAUUUGACGGUACCGGAAUAGAAAGCCACGGCUAACUACGUGCCAGCAGCCGCGGUAAUACGUAGGUGGCAAGCGUUGUCCGGAAUUAUUGGGCGUAAAGCGCGCGCUGGCGGAUUGGUCAGUCUGUCUUAAAAGUUCGGGGCUUAACCCCGUGAUGGGAUGGAAACUGCCAAUCUAGAGUAUCGGAGAGGAAAGUGGAAUUCCUAGUGUAGCGGUGAAAUGCGUAGAUAUUAGGAAGAACACCAGUGGCGAAGGCGACUUUCUGGACGAAAACUGACGCUGAGGCGCGAAAGCCAGGGGAGCGAACGGG